GAUGAACGCUGGCGGCGUGCUUAACACAUGCAAGUCGAACGGAGUAAAAGUUUUCGGAUUUUUACUUAGUGGCGGACGGGUGAGUAACGCGUGGGUAACCUACCUCGAACAGGGGGAUAACGGUUGGAAACGACCGCUAAUACCGCAUAAGCCCACAGUACCGCAUGGUACAGAGGGAAAAGAUUUAUCGGUUUGAGAUGGACCCGCGUCUGAUUAGCCAGUUGGUGGGGUAACGGCCUACCAAAGCAACGAUCAGUAGCCGACCUGAGAGGGUGAUCGGCCACAUUGGGACUGAGACACGGCCCAAACUCC
rnacentral:rRNA from 1 species